ACGGCGAAGCAUCUUUUCGCCGACGAUGAGUUCGUAAAGCUCCGAGUCUAACUGGGCCGGUCACUGCUUCCAUUCUUUUUGCUUGCUGUGGAGUGCUGGCAGAACCACAAAUCUGGAUUGCUAUCUCAUGAUGAUUAGUUGCGUUUUUACUCCACUGCCCGAUGCUUAUAUAUAUAUAUAUAUAUGUGAAGUCUACUCAAAACAUUUCAAUCAAUGCACCCUCCCAGCAUUUACAACUCUGCUGAUGAUGGUAAGUGGAAAUGCCGAAGAAUGUGCACAGCAUCAAACCGGCUGUCAGAAUCUUUUGUAGCCGCUCCAUGCAAUGAAGCUCGAACCCAGAGAAGGAAUGGCUUCACUAAUCUAUAAAAUUCAUUCUAUCGUCUACUAAGAUAUGAGACUGAUUCCUCCUGUUGUCGACUGUGGUGCCACCAGGGGGUCCAACAUAAGAUCGGAACUGAGAUACUUACUUUCUCGCGGUGUUAAUAACUUCGGGGGAGCAGCGUUCAUCGUAACCAAGUUUUGUGUGGCUCAAGAAGAUUGCCGCAUAUUUACAUGAAGAAAUCACAUGUUAAGGUAAUAUUACUUUUCGUAGCUGGAGAUUAAUGUUGAUACACCUAUGGAUAGGAAAAUUAUUGCAUGAAUAUAGAUGUAUAUAAAAAUGUAAAUAUCGUUAAUACAAGAUUGGGUGUAGUUUAAUAAAUGAAAUUUCAUAUCUGUAUGUUUAAGUAUGUUUAAACUUUAUGAUACAAAUACACACACCUUUAAUGUUUUUUUCUGCAAUGAUAUGAUUUUUGGAACGCUUCAAUAAUAAUUUACCAGAUCAAAUAUACAUUAUCAUUUGUUAUUUUCAGCACUUAAAAUAAGUUAUUUACCAAUGCAAAAUAUAAAAUGUAAAAAAUAUAGUGUGUACACACACACACACACACACACACACACAUAUAUAUAUAAUUGAAUAACUGCUUCAGAAAUGAAUCGUAACAAGAUUGUAAGCAACAUGUAUAACUUGUGUUCUAAAUACAAUAUUUCUAUAUGUGGAUGUAUAUAUAUAUAUAUAUAUAAUAAAAAAAACAUACCAAUUAGCUAAAAUGUAAUCAAAAUUUGGAUUUUGAAAUUAACAUUUUGAUAAAAAUGCUAAUUUGUAAAUACAAAACAGCAUUUUUUCCUUUUAAAGUUGAUUUCAUGAUCUUUAAGGCAAAUGUAGCCAACAAGUUUGUUGAGUAUGUUUUCAUCAUCUGGUGGGGCACUAAUGUCUGUUUGAGUUGCUUUAUCAAUCAUGUCAAACUGGGUAUCAUCAUAUAUUGUGAUUGUAUGACUUAAAGUUGGAUGCUUUUCAACUUCAGGGUUUAAUUCAAAUGGUUGUUCCACUUUAAUGUCCAGUAAAUUAUCACUACAAUAAUCUGUAUAAUCUUCAGUGUUCUCUGUUGUUUCAUGCACUUCUCCUGUUUGUUGAGGUUCAUUAAUUGGACCCUUUUCCAAAAUUUCAUCCUCCAGUGUUGAAGUUUCACAGUCGAUGCUAUUGAGAAAUGUAAGUGUUUCCAAUUGUUUAGAUUCCUAGGGUACAUCAGUUUUAGGAUUUUUACUUGUAUGUGUUGUGUGCAGUUGUUUUAUUUUGUCACUUUUGUUAAUUUCAUGAAUCAUUGAUGAAUUUUUCAAAUGAAGAGAUUGAUUCCAAGUCUUUGAACUAGUUUUUUGUGUCCCUACAGGAAUAUCAUGUUGUAGAACAUUGUUGCAAAUCAUUUCAUUUUCUCUCACUAUUUGUGGUUCUACAUGCAAAUUAAAAUCAUGGGUGCUUAGUGUAGAUAUUGGUAGGGGUUUUUUGAUUUCAAGCGGAAUUUCAAAUUGUGUAUUUGGCUUUAAACUUGUGUCUAUAUGUAUGUUGGUGUUUUUUUUGGACGUUUCAACAAUCUUGUCUUCAAAUCCUUUGUUGCAUGUUUCUGAAUUUGAAGUUUUGGAAAAUACGUUUUUAUAUGUACCUGUAAUCUCGACUUCAGAGAAAGAUGUUUUCUUCACUUUUUCUGCAUGAUUUCUACCUUUUGUAGUUUUUAGUGUAUUAUCAUGACAAGAAGGAUUUAUAAUCUGCUUAUUUUUUCUAUAAUAAAAUGAGUGGUAAAGGUUUGGAGAUUCUUCAAAUAUUUUAUCAUUAUUCAAAUCUGUUUUCAACCAUAAUUUUAAAUGAUAGUCUUCAACUUUUUCUUUUUGAAAAGCAAAUAAGGAGUCAUCUUCGGUAAUAAAACUUUUGAUGUCAGUAGUGUUAGGUGCUUCAGAUUUACUAAUGGUAUUUAUUAUACAAGGGUUUUCAAACCAACUUAUAUUUUUGUUUUGAUAAAUUUUAGGUUUCAAUUUGGAGUUAUAAUGAACACAUUUUCCAAACAAAUCUUUUGUGAAAUCAUUUUUGGAAUUAUCUUUACUUUCAGUUUUGUUUUCUUUUGAUGCAUAUUCAAGUACAUCAGAUAAGUUCACAGAAGAAUUAUUUUUUGAAUAUUCAUUCGCAGGAUUGGGUUUGAAUUGUUUUAUACAGCAUUCUGUGGAAGAGAUAUACAUUUGGCCUAAAACCAAUGAAUUGCUUGAUAUUCCAUAUGGUGCUCCACUAAUUACCGUAGAAUCUUCGAUAUCAUCAGUAAUGGAUUUGGAUUGUAUGUUUCCAGGAACGCUAUGAAUUAUGGGAAACUCUAUAGAUUUGUUUGAAUCAAAAUGCUCGGAGUUAUUCAACUUCGUCAAAACAAAUUUACGUUCAUUUAAUUGAACACCUUUACUAUUAGUAUUUAAUGGUUUUGUAUAAAAAAUGGAUUUGGGCU
rnacentral:lncRNA from 1 species